UUUCCGUAGGUGAACCUGCGGAGGGAUCAUUACUGAGUGAGGGCUCCGGCCCGACCUCCAACCCUUUUGUGAACCACCUCGUUGCUUCGGGGGCGACCCUGCCGUUCGCGGCGUGGGGCCCCCGGAGGCUCAUCAAACACUGCAUCUUUGCGUCGGAGUCUUAAUGAAUUUAAACAAAACUUUUAACAACGGAUCUCUUGGUUCCGGCAUCGAUGAAGAACGCAGC
rnacentral:misc_RNA from 1 species